CCCUUAGAUGUCCUGGGCCGCACGCGCGUUACACUGAUGCAUUCAACGAGCUUAUAACCUUGGCCGAGAGGCCUGGGCAAUCUUGUUAACGUGCAUCGUGAUAGGGAUAGAUUAUUGAAAUUAUUAAUCUUGAACGAGGAAUUCCUAGUAAACGCAGAUCAUCAAUCUGCAUUGAUUACGUCCCUGCCCUUUGUACACACCGCCCGUCGCACCUACCGAUUGGAUGGUCCGGUGAAGCCUCUGGAUUGUGGUUCUUGCCGCUUUAUUGUGGCGUGACCGCGAGAACUUGUCUAAACCUUAUCAUCUAGAGGAAGGUGAAGUCGUAACA
rnacentral:rRNA from 1 species